rnacentral:rRNA from 1 species
UACGUAGGGGGCGAGCGUUGUCCGGAAUCAUUGGGCGUAAAGCGCGUGUAGGCGGCCCGGUAAGUCCGCUGUGAAAGUCCAGGGCUCAACCCUGGGAUGCCGGUGGAUACUGUCGGGCUCGAGUCCGGAAGAGGCGAGUGGAAUUCCUGGUGUAGCGGUGAAAUGCGCAGAUAUCAGGAGGAACACCGGUGGCGAAGGCGGUUCUCUGGGCAUGUUCUGACGCUGAGGCGCGAAAGCCAGGGGAGCAAACGGG